rnacentral:rRNA from 1 species
AUGAACGCUGGCGGCGUGCCUAAUACAUGCAAGUCGCGCGAACAGACGAGGAGCUUGCUCCUCUGACGUUAGCGGCGGACGGGUGAGUAACACGUGGAUAACCUACCUAUAAGACUGGGAUAACUUCGGGAAACCGGAGCUAAUACCGGAUAAUAUAUUGAACCGCAUGGUUCAAUAGUGAAAGACGGUUUUGCUGUCACUUAUAGAUGGAUCCGCGCCGCAUUAGCUAGUUGGUAAGGUAACGGCUUACCAAGGCAACGGUGCGUAGCCGACCUGAGAGGGUGAUCGGCCACACUGGAACUGAGACUCGGUCCAGACUCCUACGGGAGGCAGCAGUAGGGAAUCUUCCGCAAUGGGCGAAAGCCUGACGGAGCAACGCCGCGUGAGUGAUGAAGGUCUUCGGAUCGUAAAACUCUGUUAUUAGGGAAGAACAAAUGUGUAAGUAACUAUGCACGUCUUGACGGUACCUAAUCAGAAAGCCACGGCUAACUACGUG